rnacentral:rRNA from 1 species
UACGGGGGGGGGCAAGCGUUGUUCGGAAUUACUGGGCGUAAAGGGCUCGUAGGCGGCCAACUAAGUCGGACGUGAAAUCCCUCGGCUUAACCGGGGAACUGCGUCCGAUACUGGAUGGCUUGAGUUCGGGAGAGGGAUGCGGAAUUCCAGGUGUAGCGGUGAAAUGCGUAGAUAUCGGAAGGAACAUCAGUGGCGAAAGCGGCUUCCUGGUCCAGCACCGACGUUCAGGCACGAAAGCGUGGGGAGCAAACAGG